CCUACGGGGGGCAGCAGUGAGGAAUAUUGGUCAAUGGACGAGAGUCUGAACCAGCCAAGCAGCGUGAAGGACGACUGCCCUAUGGGUUGUAAACUUCUUUUAUCAAGGAAUAAAACGAGGCACGUGUGCCUUUUUGCAUGUACUUUAUGAAUAAGGAUCGGCUAAUUCCGUGCCAGCAGCCGCGGUAAUACGGAGGAUCCGAGCGUUAUCCGGAUUUAUUGGGUUGAAAGGGAGCGUAGAUGGGUUGUUAAGUCAGUUGUGAAAGUUCGGGGCUCAACCGUAAAAUUGCAAUUGAUACUGGCUGUCUUGAGAUCAGUUGAGGUAGGCGGAAUGCGUGGUGUAGCGGUGAAAUGCUUAGAUAUCACGAAGAACCCCGAUUGCGAAGGCAGCUUACUAACCUGUGACUGACGUUGAGGCUCGAAAGUGUGGGUAUCAAACAGGAUUAGAUACCCGGGUAGUC
rnacentral:rRNA from 1 species